rnacentral:rRNA from 1 species
UACGUAGGGUGCAAGCGUUGCCCGGAUUUAUUGGGCGUAAAGGGCGCGUAGGCGGCUCUGCACGUCCGUUGUGAAAUCGCCCGGCUCAACUGGGCGGGGUCAGCGGAUACGGCAGAGCUUGAGCAAGCUAGGGGGCAAUGGAAUUCCCGGUGUAGUGGUGGAAUGCGUAGAUAUCGGGAGGAACACCAGUGGCGAAGGCGGCCUUCUGGACCAGCACUGACACUCAAGCACGAAAGCGUGGGGAGCAAACAGG